CGGAACACGUACGCAACCUUCCUUUAACUGGAGAAUAGCCCCUCGAAAGAGGGAUUAAUACUCCGUAACAUAUAGAUGUGGCAUCACAAUUAUAUUAUAGCUCCGGCGGUUAAAGAUGGGCGUGCGCCUGAUUAGAUAGUUGGCAGGGUAACGGCCUACCAAGUCUGCGAUCAGUAACUGGUGUGAGAGCACGACCAGUCACACGGGCACUGAGACACGGGCCCG
rnacentral:rRNA from 1 species